rnacentral:rRNA from 1 species
UACGUAGGGUGCAAGCGUUGUCCGGAAUUAUUGGGCGUAAAGAGCGUGUAGGCGGUUUGGUAGGUCCGUUGUGAAAACUCGAGGCUCAACCUCGAGACGCCGGCGGAAACCAUCAGACUAGAGUCCGGAAGAGGAGAGUGGAAUUCCUGGUGUAGCGGUGAAAUGCGCAGAUAUCAGGAAGAACACCCGUGGCUAAGGCGGCUCUCUAGUACGGUACUGACGCUGAGACGCGAAAGCGUGGGGAGCAAACAGG